CCCCAUCUGAUCUGUAAGUAUCUCUACUCUUGAACAACUCAAGAACUCUGCAUCUGACAAGGAAAAGCUGUGAAAAUGGGAGCCCCAAAGCAUAAGUGGACACUGAAAGAAGAAGAAGCUCUUAUGGCUGGAGUACUCAAACAU